rnacentral:lncRNA from 1 species
GUUUCUCGCCGGCGGUGGAUCCCCGCUCCUCGUCAACGUGUAUCCUUACUUCGCCUACAGAGACAACGCUGAUCAGAUCGCGCUGUCCUAUGCCCUGUUCACCUCCGAAGGAGUGGUGGUGACUGAUGGAGCAUAUGGUUACAAGAACCUGUUCGACGCAAUGCUGGAUGCGACCUAUGCGGCGAUGGAGAAGGUGGGAGGGAAGGAUGUGGCCGUCGUGGUGACCGAGAGUGGCUGGCCAUCAGAUGGCGGCUUUGCAGCAAAUAUCAGCAAUGCUCACACAUACAUCCAGAAUCUGAUCGAUCACGUUGGGGAAGGAACACCAAGAAGACCUGCACCGAUCGAAGCCUACAUAUUUGCCAUGUUUAACGAGAACCAAAAGGAAGCAGGAACGGAGCGAAACUUCGGUCUCUUUUACCCGGAUGAGCAACCCGUCUACCCAUUAAGCUUUGUUUAGCCAAAACAUGGUGGAAGAACUCAUUCCUAUAUCUCAAAACGCAAAACCAUAAGGCACCGGAAGAACUCCCAAAAUUCUGGUCCUUCAAGUCUCGCACUAGGGAAUACCCAUGUUUAGGAAACUUAGAAGGGUUAUCUUUCUCGAUGAAUCAACGCUGUUAGGGCUCACCAAAUAAAGAAGAUAUUUUCCAAUCGAAUAAUGCACUUCUUAUUAUGAACAUCGGCAUCUGUGUGCCUUCACAUGUGGAUAUAUCAGUUGUAAUUAUAGGGAGGAGGGGAGAUGAACUUAGUGGUGAGAAUUGCAAUGAAGAGAUAAAUGAAUCUGUAUGUGAAUCAUGUCAUAUAAGAAGAAUUUAGUGAUACGAAUAUUAAUCUUACUAGUUCUGGGGUUGUAGUGAUGUGAAUGCUGCUCCAACAAGGAAGGCCUAAGCCGAUACGAAGGAGACACCUCGAAGGAAUAACUCAUAUACGAAUUAUGCACUAAAAUAUAUUGUUCGGGGUUUGGAUCCAAAUCGAGUCUAGAGUCCGAGCUCGUCAUAAUAAGCUUUGGAGUUAAGGAUGAAGUGGUUUUCUAAGGUCUCCUAUAAAAAUCACAUAUGAUGCUUAAAUUAAUAAAGAAAUUGGGGAAUUCAUAAGAAGAGUUGGUGUACACUCAAAUUAUUCGAGAUAGUCAUAGAAAAACACCUUAGGCCUUUUUAUGGAGAGCUUUAAUAACUAUAGGAAUUAAGCGAGGAGUUAAAGUAUAGAAAAUCGAUGGUACUUAUUAGUCAUUACUUGAUCGUGACAACGUUAAUCAAAUUGUUAAACAUUACGAUUAGUGCAAGCAAGGUCUAUGUAAAUAGGGCAGGGGAGCACGACUAUCAUGUUAGGAUGAUUAGGUUCUUGAGGUGGCAUUGAGUCAGCAUUAAUGUGGGCAUCACACUUCAUCGACGUAUCGAUUGAUAAGGUAUUUGAUAAGACAUGAUGUGGUGUUGGAUCAUCUGCACGUUAAAAACUCAUUCUUUAUCUACGGGGCCACACCAUAGUUGGUGGGUGUUGUUACCAUCGUUAUAGUCACUCAAGAAGAGAUCAGGAAUAUUUUAUGAUUGAAUUCAAGGAUGUUUCAUGAUUUAAAAGGGUACAUAUUGACAUUAGCUUUGACUCGAUGACUGGCUUGCUAGCUCACUACCAAUUGGACGUUGAUGUGGGCAGAGAAAUGCCCACAUCCCCCUUCCCUAUGACAGACGGUAGGGCAACAACCUUUCACUUUCCCAUAUUACGAUUUUGGGAUACAAGUCGACUACCCGGAACAGUAACUCCCUAGUGGCAAAGCCUAUAUGCUCCUUUCCUAGUUGAUUGACACAGUCGAUCGCCUUCUGCUUAUUUCGGGUGACUGCCAAACAAGUGACACCCCCAUAGUUGUCCCAUAGUUGUCCUUCGUUGACAAUGCAUUACAUGGAUCGUACCAUCUCGCCGUCUAGGUAAAUGAGUUACAAAGAUGGUAUACGGGCUCGUCCCCAUCAAUUAUAAAUCUCCCUUCACAUACUGUCUAGGUAUAAAAGUCAAUCUUCAAAGCAAGAAGAGGGGAUUGGACUUAAGACUUCCACUAUUCAUACUAUUUAUGCACUAUACAUUCUUCCUAGUUUACUUGUCCUCAUAGUGCCUCUUAUGUGAAUGGUUGGACAUUCCUCUAAAUGCAAAUCUCAAAUGCCCGCUCUUUUAAAUGACUUCUUUUCCUAUAUCUUCAUACAUGUUUCUCUCAAACGGUCAUGCGUGUUGGUUACCCUCAAUGUAGCCUCCCCCAUAUUUGUAUACCAAGUAUUUCUAUAUGUACUUGUCCUACUCUAAUACCAAAUGUCAUGAAUUUAGUUGAUUUUGCCUAAGUCAUGCGACACCCUUGCAUGUCCGUCCAUAAAGGUUAAUCUCUCUGAAACCUCCCAUGGUCCCUUAGGAUCUAUAAAAGAGAAAAUAAGUUAGAAAAAACGUUUCACUCGGGAUCCAUAAGUAAUUAUUUUAGCAAACAUUUCAUAACCAAUGCAAAUUACAUAUAUACUUUACAAGAUCUGAAUGAUCGCACAACAAAUGGUCCAAAAUGGUCAACUAUAGAUCAAAAUACCCACAAGUGCUCAUAUAACACAACAUUCAUUUACAAUAGAAUCAUUGUCUAAUAAUGAGGUAUUAUCAACCAUCAAGUAUUCCGUGAGCGGAUCAAUCAGUGAAUUUAUUCUCCAAUGAAGACCUGCACUGUAGCCUUAGUGUCCAUAUACAAGCAGCUAUGAGACCAGCUGCCUCCAUCAUAUGGAUGGGUAUAUAGUACACCAGUCUAUCCGGUUAUAUCGAUGUCCCUCUUGAGUAACAUAUGACCAUAAUUAUUUAGGGCCUAUGUUUAAAGGUGAAUCGGUCUCAUUAUCAUGAUUUCAUCAUGAUCCGAUUCUCAUUGCACAGAUCCAAAGAUAUCACAAUAUAUAUAUAUAUAUAUAUAUAUAUAUAUAUAUAUAUAUAUAUAUAUAUAUAUAUAUAUAUAUAUAUAUAUAUAUAUAUGCAACAAGCAAUAUCAAGUGAGAAAAUAUCAUAAUAAUAAAAAGCAGAAAGACUAUUAUCAUGUCAUACAUGUUAUCACUCAUGUGAUUGACUUAUAGGGCACCUAUGAUUAGCAAUCUCCCACUUGACCUAAAGUCAAUUACCUUUAUAUCUGAUCCCCAUCAGACCCCUAUGACGCUCAAAGAUAAUAUGAGAUAACAACUUUAUCAGUGGAUCUACGAAGUUAUCUUUGGAUGAAACUCUUUCCACUACUACAUCUCCUCGAGCUACGAUAUCUCUAAUAAGUUGGAACCUCCUUAAAACACUUAUGAUGAGACCUGAGUUACCUCAUUUGAGUAAUCACCCCGUAGUUAUUAUAAUAUAAGGGAAUUAGCUCUUAGAUCUAUGAUGUACUUCUUCAUCCAAACUCCCUCCUUUGCUGUCUUUGUCGCAACAAUGUACCCCGUCUUUAUGGUCUAGUCAGCAAUAAUAUCUUACUUUGAACUCUUUCAGCAUACUAUUCCAUUCAGGGUAAACACAUAACCUGAAUUAAACUUGCUAUUAUUGAUAUCAGACUGGAAGCUCGAGUCCGUGUAGCCCUCAACCCUAAGGCUACUUUCUCACCAUAUUAGUAAAAGAUUCCUAGUCCUUCUCAAGUACUUAAGGAUCCACUUUACUGUUUUUUAGUGCUUCAAGCUUGAAUCCACCUAAUACCUGCUCACGACACUCAGAGCAUGUGUUAUAUCAAACCUAGUAUAUAACAUAGCAUACAUGAUAGAUCCUAUGGCUAAAGCAUAGGAUAUCCUAUGAAUGUUUAUCCUUUCUUUAAUAGCCUUUCGGGACAUACCCCUAGAAAGCGAUAUCCUAUGUCUCAUCGGUAUGAGAAUUCUCAUAGAAUUUUUCAUGUCAAACCUUUUGACAAUGGUGUCUAUAUACCUGGAUUGGGAUAAGCCAAGCAUCCUCUUGGAUCUAUCUCUAUAUAUCUCAAUCCCCAAGACAUAGGAUGCUUCCCCUAAAUCCUUCAUGAAAAAGUGUCUAGAUAGCUAAGCCUUUACUAUAGAGAGCAUUCAUAUAUCAUUCUUAAUGAUUAUGAUAUUAUCCACGUAUAGCAUCAUAAAGGUAAUAGCGCUCUCACUUACCUUUAUGUACAUGCAAGGCUUAUAUUUAUUCUUAACAAAGUCUUAAGAUCUGAUCACCUCAUCAAAUUUUAUAUUCCAACUUUGGAAAGCUUAUUUUAGUCCAUAGAUGAGCCUAAGCAAUCUGUACACCUUAUUUGGACUAUCCUUAGAUAUGAAUCUCUUAGGAUGUAUCAUAUAUUCCUCCUCCUCGAUAUUGUCAUUAAGGAACACAGAAUUCGUAUGGAUUUUAGCAUGACUAUAAGUGAGAAGGUUUCGCCAUAAUCAACACCAUGCCUUUAACAAUAAUACUCUUUAGCCACUAGCCUUGCUUUAUAGAUCUCCACAUUUUUAUCUACUUUAAUGUUCUUGUUAAAGAUCCAUUUGCAACCAACGAGUACAAUACCCUCAGGUGCAUAAACUAGGUUCUAAACAUUGUUGGAGUACAUGAAAUCCAUUUCAAAAUUCAUGACUUUUUACCACUUCCCAGAGUCUAUACUCGUAAUAGCCUCUUUGUAGGUAUGAGGAUCAAUAUCCUCUCCUCUGAUAUGUCCCAUAUAUCUCUCAGGAGAAUGAGGUACUCUACCGAACCUACGUAAAGUUGGAACCUGUGUACUAGGUACCUGAAUAGACUCGGGUUGUGGAGUAGUGCUUGAGCUUAGUUCUCUAACCUCACUCCUAUUAGAUCUUAUUCAUAAGAUCCAAUAAUUCAGGGUCUUAUUGGAUAUCCAAUAAGAUAAGGGCUCCGACGAAUAUCUUAUUUCCAUAAUAAUUUACUCGACUCAUCGAUUGCGGAUGUACUAUGCCACUACGUCGUAAUCCCCAUAUGAUAUAGUGAAAUCUAAUUUUUUGAAUCUAUAUAUCCUUAAUUAUCAUGUACCUAUAGUCCCUCAUCCAUCUAAUAUCCUAGAGACUGUAUAUCGGGUAUGGUACUAUCAAGCCCAUACAGUUUCUUCUCGAAUUUUGCUCUAAUCGAAUUCUCUCGGAAAACUCUUUCUCUCUCAAUCCGAAUAACCUUAGUCAAGGAUUUGUUUGAACAAGAAUAUAUGGGAUAUUUCUCUCUUAAUACCGAGAGCGGAUGAUCCUCUAUCGAUACUCAAUAACCCUCGUAAGGUUAGUUGCUACUCUUGAUGACUAGCUAUACUAGAUUUGGAACUUCCAAACUAAGUUUAGUAUCAAAGAAUGAAGUACUUAUAUAGGAUAUCAUUGAUAUCUUAAGUCUAAGGACCAGAUAUACUACUGGGAUGAUGGAAUCGCUGUCUGAUAAUGAGGUAUCAUUAAUCAUCUAGCAUUCCAUGAGCGGAUUAAUCAAUGAACUCAUUCUCCAAUGAGCACAUGUACUGUAGCCAUAGUAUUCAUACAGUAUAUCAGUUUGUUCGGUUAUCUCAAUGUCCCUCUCGAGUAACCUAUGACUAGGAUUAUUUAUGGUCUGUGUUUAAUGGUGAAUCGAUAUCAUUAUCGUGAUCUUAUCACAAUCUGAUUCUCAUUGCACAAAUCUAAGGACAUCAUAAUAUAUGUAUGUAAUAAGUAAUAUAAAAUAAAAAAAAUCAUAAUAAUAGAAAGUAAAAAAAUUGCGUGUCAUGUCAUACGUGCCAUCACUCACGUGAUUGGCUUGCAGGACACCUAUAACUAACAAUCUCUCACUUGACCUAAAAUCAAUCACCUAUGUGUCUAAUCCUCAAGAGGACACACAGGCCCAUCCCCAUCAACCGUCAAUCUCUUUUCGUUGGCUGCCAAGUAUAAAAGCUGAUCCUUAAUGCCAAAAGAGAUGACCAAACUCAAGACUUCUACUAUUCAUACUUCGACUCAUACUAAUUUUACCAUCAAGUCAGAAACUCCCCCGACGGGAGAGUUAACUUGCCAAACUCUCUGUAGAACUCCAAUCGGAGAACUUCUCUCUCAUAUGUCCAGUUGAAGACUUAACCUAGCGACUCCAGAUGAAGAGUCCCUUCGGCCCCAGUAUAAAGUUGAGGAGCUUGCUAAGUACUAAGAUCUAAAUGAGUCUGACCAAGCAUGCUAAUAAAAUAUAUAGCCUAAUGAUCUCGUGAGUCCUCUCUGACCAUCCCGGCUUGUCAUACAGUCCUCUGAACACCCGAGCGAUUGAUGCUUUAGAGAUGACUUUGUCAUCAUGCAAGAGAAUGUCAUUUUCAAUGAAAGUAAUGAGACAUCUACUCUAGUGCGACACGACAAUAUGGAGGUCGAUAUGGAAGUCGAGAGAGGGAAGAGCUAGAGGAGAAGAUAAAAGAAAAUUUAGGGUAAAAAUCAGCUUGGUAGACAAAAGGUUGUUCUCGAGAGUUCUCGUAUGUUGCACUAUUGCUCGAGUCAUUUGUCAUAUUCAAUGACAACGAGGGAGAGGUCCCUGAGCCUAUCAUCGCCCUCGUGACCUAAUAAUUGUCUUCUAUUUUUGUCAUCUUUUUGUUUUUUCUAUUAGGAAUCGUUUUAUGUGUUUAAAAUGUAAAGUUUUAAAAUAUAAAACUUUUGCAUACUUGGAGUAAUAAUUUUUUAAGGGUAGUAUUUUUUGAGUAAUAACUUUUACAUACUUUGAGUACAAUUGUAUGAUGAAUAAGUUUUAGGCAUCAAUAUCAGGGCCUUCUGACUUUAGUGGCUGGUAAUUGCUCACUUGUAGGUUAAAGCUUUUGAGUGCUCCAUGGCUCAAGUCUUAUCAAUUAAAUGAAGGUUUGUCCAAAGUCCUUGAUCUCUCUUCAUUGUAGUUGCUAGUUCAGGUUCUCAAGGGGAAUGACUGCUCGAGUCUCGUAGGUGAGACAGUAAGGGAAUUCUUCCAUUGAGGUCCGUGGAAUUGUUCCAUAACUCGUUAGAAUAUUUGAAUAUUCAUCAAUCUAGGUCUCUUUAGCUCCGAUCGUCUAUUCUCCAAUGCCUAUGAGAUAGUUUGGUUUCUCACCUUACUUUGGCUAUUUGAUUCGGGGGCGAGUCAUAAAGUUGAAUCAUAGAAUGAUCCCAAAAGAUUCAUAAAAUUUUCUAAAUUUUUAUGAAUUGAUGAAUUUGAUCAUAUAUCGUAUUGAUAUUAAAGGAUGGUUAAAGCAUUUGAAGGGUGUGUUGUAUCUAAAGCGUUUGCUUUAGAUGUCAUCCAUUUGUUGAAGACAAAAAAUAUUUGAAGUCGACUAAGUACAAAGAUAGUUUGCCUAAGACAUAUGCAUAUGCAUAAAACAUAUGCAUAUGAAUUACACAUGUAAAGUAUUCGAAAUGCUCGAUACGACUAAAUAGGUUCAAAGUAUUUUUUUACAUUAGGUGCAUCUAUUCAAGAUAAAAAUGUAACCCAAAACAUCUCAUUUACUUACUAUGCAUCCCCAAUACAGGACAAGAACCAAUACAACAAUUUAAUUAUUUAUUAAUACAGAUAAUAGCAGUUAAGGCCCCGAAACAAGCAAGUCUGUACCUCGAAGAACAAUGGGGCAGAUGAUUACUUUUAGGCAAUGGGGAAUCGACCAAAAUGUGCAUCAGCCCAAUCGACAAGGCAGAUGCGCUCGAAUGGUACUCGCAAACAUAUGGCCGACACCACAUGCCAAGUCUACGUCGGUCCAUUCAUGACUGAGGCAAUGUUCCCACCACCGGGCUCUACAUAAGAAGAACCCUCCUCUCACCCCGCCGCCAUCAGAAUAGAGAACUGUAGAGGUCGCUAAAUCUCCAGAGAGAAAUGGCUGGCGGACGUGUCUUCUCUCUGCUUCCCAUUGCAUUGUUAAUCUCAGUCUUGGCAGUCCAAACAAGUAUUCUCUCUUCCUCCUCCGCUCUCUCUUUCGUGGCCCUGCAUAUGUGUGUUUUUUGCAGUACAGGGAUAGCGUAGUAUCAUUCUCCAUCUCGCACGUGGAUCAGCAUGGGAUCUAACUUUCACUUUGAUGCGAGCGUAGAUUACCAAGUCUUGUUUUGCGUUCAGGCGUGCAUGGCAUCGGCGUCAACUACGGUUUGGUUGCCGACAACCUACCCCAGCCCAGCGCGGUGGUGGAGCUCUACAAAUCCAACAAUAUCAGUAGCAUGAGGAUCUUUAAUCCAAACCAUGACGUCCUCGAAGCCCUACGAGGAUCCAACAUCCCACUCAUUGUUGGUGUUGAGCACAAUGAUCUCCAAUCACUGGCCUCCGACAUUUCCGCAGCCACCAACUGGGUUCAGACCAACAUAGUAGCCUACUCGCCCGGCGUCUCCUUCAGCCACAUAGCCGUCGGCAACGAGAUCAUCCCCGGAGAAUUGGCGCAGUACGUCCUCCCCGCCAUGCAAAACAUCCAAACUGCACUCGAUUCCGCCGGCCUACCAGUCAACGUCUCAACCUCGAUUGCACUCUCUGUUCUCGGCUCAUCGUAUCCUCCCUCCGCCGGUGCUUUCACUCCGGAAGCACAAACCUACAUGGAACCCAUCCUGAGUUUUCUCGCCACCAGUGGAUCCCCGCUCCUCGUCAAUGUGUAUCCUUAUUUCUCCUACAAGGACAACCCCGACCAGAUCGCGCUGUCCUAUGCCCUGUUCACUUCCCAAGACGUGGUGGUGAUUGAUGGACCAUAUGGUUACAAGAACCUGUUCGACGCAAUGCUGGAUGCGACCUAUGCGGCGAUGGAGAAGGUGGGAGGGGCGGAUGUGGCCGUCGUGGUGUCCGAGAGUGGCUGGCCAUCAGAUGGCGGCUUUGCAGCAAAUAUCAGCAAUGCUCAG